UGGGAUAUAUGAAUUAAACUACUGGAAUGUUGUAAUCUCUGAACUUGCCUUCGUGUGAGCAUGCUUUUCGUUUCAAUCCAAGACAAGUGGUUUAUCGGGUAUAACCCGACAGAGUAUCAGAUUGACUUGGUUAAAGUGUCAAUUUGCGUAUAAGGUGAAGUUGAGUACACUUUAACUAGGUUAAUUUGGGUGGUUCUGUCACACCUGCACCUUCCGAAAACGCUCUAUUGAUAAAGUGUUCAAUAGCAUGAGAAGGAAAGUAUUUCAAUUAAAUAAAAAAUUAGAUUAAGAUAUUAAAUGCCCUAAUCCCUUACAAUAUUCCAAUUCUCUAGCCCUUUAAAUGUCUCACUUCUCUAAGAUCAAAUCCAC
rnacentral:lncRNA from 1 species